rnacentral:rRNA from 1 species
AACGAACGCUGGCGGCAUGCCUAACACAUGCAAGUCGAACGAGACCUUCGGGUCUAGUGGCGCACGGGUGCGUAACGCGUGGGAACCUGCCCUUAGGUUCGGAAUAACUCCCCGAAAGGGGUGCUAAUACCGGAUAAUGUCUUCGGACCAAAGAUUUAUCGCCUUUGGAUGGGCCCGCGUUGGAUUAGCUAGUUGGUAGGGUAAAAGCCUACCAAGGCGACGAUCCAUAGCUGGUCUGAGAGGAUGAUCAGCCACACUGGGACUGAGACACGGCCCAGACUCCUACGGGAAGCAGCAGUGGGGAAUAUUGGACAAUGGGCGAAAGCCUGAUCCAGCAAUGCCGCGUGAGUGAUGAAGGCCUUAGGGUUGUAAAGCUCUUUUACCCGGGAUGAUAAUGACAGUACCAGGAGAAUAAGCUCCGGCUAACUCCGUG